rnacentral:lncRNA from 1 species
ACACACUAACUUGUGCACUAACUCUUAACCCUCUGAAAUGCGCGCACACACACACACACACACACACACACACACACACGACCUGUGUGACGUGAAGGACGUACAAGGACACCACAUGUUUCUUUUCAAACGCAGUCACAUUUAUUGUCCUUUUCUAUGCCCAGUCACUGAGCAGUCUGAUGAGCUGUCAAAUCAAUACGAUAUAAUGCAGUCAAUGGAGGUCUCACGUUUACCCAAAAUAAAUACAAGACUGAAAUAGUGUUGCACAGCUCCAAAAUAUACAAAGGCUUGGAAUUAAUUCAUUAAUUAAUCAUGUAAACUUUGAAAAUAUUUUACAAAAAAGAAAAAGAUCUUUGCAACAUUUUUAAAAAGGUUUACUAUUUACAUUUAGUUUUGUACAAAAAUACAAAAAGGCGAUCUGUUAUGUUCCAGCUUUGAGCCAGGAGCAUCUUGUACCGCCCGAGCCAGUUACACUGUACCACUCAUCCUUUUAAAUAGUUGGUUUUGUUUUUCAUCUUUUUAAAGUAGGUUUUUCAUGUUUUAAUGUUAAUGUUUAAAGUUUCAAAAUCGUUUUUUUUUGUGUGUGUUGGUUCUUUCCAGUACACUUCUGACURUCUGAAACCCUUUGGCAGAAGCACGGCCUGUGCUAUCCUGAUCAUGCAUCCUAAAUGAAUGAACCAUGUAUAAUAUAUUUUAAUCGAUAGGGGAAAUACAGUCUUUUACACAAAUCAUCACAUAUCAUCAUCAAUAUAACUUCAGGUUACAGCAAAAAGGAAAACACUUCACAAGCUCCACUAUACCAGUGCAAUAGGAGAAUAUCUUUUAGUUGGUUUUUAAACUUCAGGGAAUCAUGUCUCAGAGGAAAACAGUAUUUUUUGUUAAAAUCCGAGGUUAAAAGGUGUCUAGGUCAAUGCAAACAAGAGAAGAUUAUUACCUCUGGCUCUCACUUCCGUGUUGGGGUAUUACACUUCUGUGUUGGGGUAUUACACUUCGGUUGGGGUAUUACACUUCUGUGUUGGGGCUAAUUGUACACUUUCUGUGUUGGGGUAUUACACUUCUGUGUUGGGCUAUUACACUUCUGUGUUGGGCUAUUACACUUCUGUGUUGGGCUAUUACACUUCUGUGUUGGGCUAUUACACUUCUGUGUUGGGCUAUUACAUCUUCAGGGUUGGGCUAUUACACUUCUGUUUGGGCUAUUACACGUCGGUUGGGCAUUACACUUCAGGGUUGGGCUCAGAAUCCAUUUCAAUUCCAGUCAAUUCCAGGAAGUAAAACUGAAAUUCCAAUUCCCUAUUGUCGAUUCAAUGAUGUUUCAAGAGGAGAAAUUGGAAUUGGAAUUGAGAUUUGGUUGACUUUCUGAAUUGACGGGUAGGGAAAUGGAACGAUCCCAACCCUGUAACACACAUUGGAUAUGUCCCAGGGAAAGGCAGGCAAUAGUCGUAUUUGAAAACGUUUGUCGGUGGGGCCUGGACUCAUAUGAACCAUGUCUUUAGUCUGUGGGCCCCUGGACUCAUAUGAACCAAUGUCUUUAGUUUGUGGGGCCUGGGACCAUAUGAACCAAUGUCUUUAGGUCUGUGGGGCCUGGACUCAAUGAAACCAAUUGUCUUUAGGUUUGUGGGGCUGGACUCAGACGAACCAAUGUCUUUAGUCUGUGGGGCCUGGACUCAGACGAACCAAUGUCUUUAGUUUGUGGGGCCUGGACUCAGACGAACCAAUGUCGUUAGUCUGGGGCUGGACUCAACGAACCAAUGUCUUUAGCUGGGGCUAUGGAAAUGUCUUUAGUUGGGCCAUAUGACCAUGCUUAGUCUGUGGGAUGCCGGGGAGAAAUGGCUACUUGGCUACUUUAACCGAAAGUUGAAAGACAGUUGCAAGGGAACACAAAUCAUCAAAAUAAAUCUAUAUAUUUUUUUGGGCUGCAUACAGAUUAUGUCAAACUACUGUUACUAAUCCACAUGAACAAUUAAAAAUGACUUCAGAGGAUCCCAAAUAUCUACUCAAGGUGGAUUUGACACCAUAUAGUUUAAUAACGUUUAUUCUAGACUGAGUCAGAAAUGGCCCCCUUUUAUUCCCUAUGUAGUACACUACUUUGACCAGA